rnacentral:rRNA from 1 species
UACGUAGGGUCCAAGCGUUAUCCGGAAUCACUGGGCGUAAAGCGUGCGUAGGCGGCGUGUUAAGUGAGAUGUUAAAUCGUGGGGCUCAACCCUGUCGAUGUAUCUCAUACUGGCAUGCUAGAGGAAGGCAGAGGCAAGUGGAAUUUGUAGUGUAGCAGUGAAAUGCGUAGAUAUUACAAGGAACACCAAGGGCGAAGGCAGCUUGCUGGGCCUUUUCUGACGCUGAGGUACGAAAGCGUGGGAGCGAACAGG